rnacentral:rRNA from 1 species
GACGAACGCUGGCGGCGUGCUUAACACAUGCAAGUCGAACGGAAAGGCCCUGCUUUUGUGGGGUGCUCGAGUGGCGAACGGGUGAGUAACACGUGAGUAACCUGCCCUUGACUUUGGGAUAACUUCAGGAAACUGGGGCUAAUACCGGAUAGGAGCUCCUGCUGCAUGGUGGGGGUUGGAAAGUUUCGGCGGUUGGGGAUGGACUCGCGGCUUAUCAGCUUGUUGGUGGGGUAGUGGCUUACCAAGGCUUUGACGGGUAGCCGGCCUGAGAGGGUGACCGGCCUCAUUGGGACUGAGAUACGGCCCAGACUCCUACGGGAGGCAGCAGUGGGGAAUAUUGCGCAAUGGGCGGAAGCCUGAUGCAGCAACGCCGCGUGCGGGAUGACGGCCUUCGGGUUGUAAACCGCUUUCGCCUGUGACGAAGCGUGAGUGACGGUAAUGGGUAAAGAAGCACCGGCUAACUACGUG